rnacentral:rRNA from 1 species
GUGCGCAGCCGCGGUAAUACCGGCAGCUCGAGUGAUGGCCAAUCUUAUUGGGCCUAAAGCGUCCGUAGCUGGCCGCGCAAGUCCGUCGGGAAAUCCAUCAGCCCAACUGAUGGGCGUCCGGCGGAAACUGCACGGCUUGGGACCGGAAGGCUCGAGAGGUACGUCCGGGGUAGGAGUGAAAUCCCGUAAUCCCGAACGGACCACCGAUGGCGAAAGCAUCUCGAGAAAACGGAUCCGACAGUGAGGGACGAAAGCCAGGGUCUCCAACCGGAUUAGAUACCCCUGUAGUCC